AAUCAACGCUGGCGGCGCGCUUAACACAUGCAAGUCGCACGAGAAAGGGAGCAAUCCUGAGUAAAGUGGCGUACGGGUGAGUAACACGUGGAUGAUCUACCUUCUAGUGGGGAAUACCCCUGGGAAACCGGGGAUAAUACCGCAUAAGCUCGUGAGAGGAAAGCAGCAAUGCGCUGGAAGAGGAGUCCGCGGCUGAUUAGCUAGUUGGCGGGGUAAUGGCCCACCAAGGCGAAGAUCGGUAGCCGGCCUGAGAGGGCUCACGGCCACACUGGCACUGAAACACGGGCCAGACUCCUACGGGAGGCAGCAGUGGGGAAUCUUGCACAAUGGAGGAAACUCUGAUGCAGCGACGCCGCGUGAGCGAUG
rnacentral:rRNA from 1 species